rnacentral:lncRNA from 1 species
GAUUCCCGCCCAGCUCGGGUUGCCCAGCCCGUGGGGACUCUGAGUCCCAGCUCCUUGCUCUUGGGUGUGUGGGCGCGGCUCGCUGACCUUGGCCCACUGACCGCAACGACCUCAUUUACGGCAGGCAACCCUGAUUCCCUAGGCUUCUAGUGUAAUUCCGAUGGCUUUCUUCCUGCCUCCAAGCCCCUGGGGCCGGAAUAGUCCCGCUGUAACGUCACCACCCACUGCGAAUGAGCCCAACUUCUGGCUCUAGAGUCAGAUCUACUGAGCAGCUCUCCGCCCCGCCAACACGCACCUUUCAGCUUCGAUUCUCACCCACCAUGCUCUUUCGCAUCUCUGCCUAAACCAUCAUGAUCCCGGCCUCCCCUAACAGCCUUACAGCCUUACAUUUUACACCCAUGUGGUCUUUGUCCACAAAGCGGCUUCCUCUGCCUGAAGUAUGUUUUCUCGAUUUUUCAGCUACUGAAAGCCAUCAGUCAUGAAACAGGUUGUCAUCCUGGAAUGUCUUAGGGGAAGCUGUAGUCGUGAAGUUGCCAGUGCUCAGUUAAGGUGUUAGUUUUAGGAAUCUUUCCUGGUCAGUAAACAGAUAAUACGCAUGUGCUUUCCUGGCAGUUUGCAUUUUCAGUACGCAGCCAGAUAUUGUUUAAUAACGGUGCUUGUCCUUAUGUCUUCGAUUAGACCAAGUGCCAAAAUAAGAUCUGCCUGACUUACACAUCAGGAGCUCCCAGCUUACAGCCCAGGUCCAAGGAAAUUCUCAGCAAUACUAAGUGAACUGAAUAGAAGAAACUGAAUGGAAGAAACCCGUUGCGUUGAAGGCCCCUGAUUUAAAAGAAACAUAGGAAAUUAGCAAUUUGUUUUUUUGUUUGUUUGUUUGGAGGGGCGGGGGACAGGAGAGUUUGAACCCAGACUCUGUGCAGGAUUCUAGUUGUCCAUUCUACCACUGAACUAUAUAACCUUAGUAAACCCAUCACCUACUCAAUGCCAUGAAAUUAAAACAUGUAUUCAUUGAGAGCUACUUUAUUUUCUUUCUUUUUUUUAAAGAUUUAUUUAUUAUUAUAUGUAAAUACACUGUAGCUGUCUUCAGACACUCCAGAAGAGGGAGUCAGAUCUUGUUAUGGAUGAUUGUGAGCCACCAUGUGGUUGCUGGGAUUUGAACUCUGGACCUUCGGAAGAGCAGUCGGGUGCUCUUACCCACUGAGCCAUCUCACCAGCCUGAGAGCUACUUUAUUUUCAACAUGUAUGAAAUGAAUAGCAAAGCCUCUAGAAUUUAAGUCCAGUCAAAACAAAGACUAAGUUCAUGAAAGACAAUAAAGCAAAUCAGUUUGCCCUAAGACAAGGAAAGUGUGCAAUUACUGUUUGGAACAUCCAAACCACCAACUCAAAAUACAACUCUCAUCUCAAAGAAAGUUUAUUAUGGAGCCAAAUGUGAGUGACCAUGACUAGGAACCCAGAUUUCAUGUACCAAUGUAGUAACAGUUUGAUGAAGUUUUUAUAGUAAUAGAACAAAGAAAAUUACUUUUCAAUUACGUUGAUGGAAACAUCAGAGAAUGGGUUAUAGCAAAGUGAAAAAAAACCUUCCGUAUAACCCUCAGAUAAAUUAUCUGAUGAUGCGCUUAGCUCUUGAGUUGUGAAAGCUAGUGGUCUGCUAAGCCAUACAUUCCAAAGGAAAUUAGUGUUUUGUUUCUACAGUCCACAUGACUUGCCUAAUAAAGCUGUUAGGUCAGUUACAGAGAAGUAAAAGGUUCUUAAAUAAAUCGAUAUUAAGAAGGUUAAAUAUGUUCCAAAAUAAUUUGGCUAUGUACUAGCAAUGUUCUGACUUCACCACAUCACUGAGGGUCUAAUCAGCCAGUAAGACUUGAGGAAGGUUCAGUUUGAAAGUGCAGCUGCUUUCUUUGCACCCUCAUCCACUGUUUCCCUGUUGACCAAGCACUGUAUUUUGUGCAUGGUGCAGGGACACAUAGUACUUACUGAAUAUUAUUAAUGCUCCAUGUUGCUAGGAAACACUUCCUAGCAUCUGGUGUAGAUGAGGCUGAGUAGUAGGCAGAGGGCAAUCUUCAAGAGAGGGAAAUAGCCUGUUAAAGCUGUUAAGACGACAACUUCUGGAUCAUAUCAUUAAAAUCUACUGGCCAUUAUAGUCCAGAUCUAUUUUUAAGUCCUCUGUAUUUGUCGCAAUGUGACAUAUAUUAAGAGUAACACACACACACACACACACACACACACACACACACACACACUAAUCAAGAACAUUGUCUGGCCCAGUGGCAUAAAAGUAGCUAGUGAAGGAAAUGGGCAUUU